GACCUGAGAGGGUGAUCGGCCACACUGGGACUGAGACACGGCCCAGACUCCUACGGGAGGCAGCAGUAGGGAAUCUUCCACAAUGGACGAAAGUCUGAUGGAGCAACGCCGCGUGAACGAUGAAGGCCUUCGGGUCGUAAAGUUCUGUUGUAAGGGAAGAACAAGUGCCGCAGGCAAUGGCGGCACCUUGACGGUACCUUGCGAGAAAGCCACGGCUAACUACGUGCCAGCAGCCGCGGUAAUACGUAGGUGGCAAGCGUUGUCCGGAAUUAUUGGGCGUAAAGCGCGCGCAGGCGGCCUCUUAAGUCUGAUGUGAAAGCCCCCGGCUCAACCGGGGAGGGCCAUUGGAAACUG
rnacentral:rRNA from 1 species